rnacentral:misc_RNA from 1 species
AGAAUAUUCUCGAGCAUCCUUUCUUUUCUUCCGGUUCAGAAUAAUUCUUCAGCAUCUUCUUUCUUUUCAAGUUUUGAUUUUUGCUGAACGACUAUUUGGGUUCUGUGUAAUUUGGAGCGAGAAAGAUCGGAGGAGAAACCCUCGUGUACUCGCUAUGUCUUCUUCCGGAAUCUCUACCCAAAGCGCCGAAUUGUCAGAUGCCGUUCAAGAACUAGUAAUUUGCGAGCAGUUGGAAAUGGGAAAGAAGGUAGAGAUUCAAGGAACGGGGAAUGGG